AGAAAGCUGAAUCCAAGGAAGAACAGAAAAAGUUAACUGAGUUAUCCAGUGGCCUCUUCCAUCAGAAAAUACCAGAUACAAGACUCUGGAGGCAAGAAGCCUGUGAUGUGCAUUCUUCUGUCCAAAAGUUUUAUGCCCCUAUCUCCAGAGGUCAUCAUACUGCUUCCGUUACAAACCAGAACUUUCCUGGGGGCGAAACAAUGCUCUAUCAAGAUUCGGACAACUUUCAUUCCACGGUACUGUAAAGGAUCUUGCACCUGCGUAGAUGGCAUAAAAACAGAGGAAAAUCCUUCAAGUUUUCACCAUUGGAUAUGAUGUUAGACUGAGAAGAACUGUCUUAGAAGAAUGAGUUGAAUUGGAACGUGCUGGACAAAUGCUAUUUUAUGCAAGAAGUCUCUUGGAAGAUGAUCAGAUGGAAACUCAG
rnacentral:lncRNA from 1 species